rnacentral:rRNA from 1 species
ACAUGUGGGUAUCUACCCUUUGGCCUGGAAUAACACGAGGAAACUUGUGCUAAUACUGGAUAAGUCUUUACGGAGAAAGCUUUAUGCACCAUUGGAUGAGCCCGCACUUGAUUAGUUUGUUGGUGGGGUAAUGGCCUACCAAGACUGUGAUCAAUAGCUGAUUUGAGAGGAUGAUCAGCCACAUUGGGACUGAGACACGGCCCAAACUCCUACGGGAGGCAGCAGUGGGGAAUCUUGCACAAUGGAGGAAACUCUGAUGCAGCGAUGCCGCGUGAGUGAAGAAGGCCCUUGGGUUGUAAAGCUAUUUCGUCGGGGAAGAAAAUGACUGUACCCG